rnacentral:pre_miRNA from 1 species
UCUUCAUUCCUCGUACUCUCUCACCGGUCAGAGUGACGAGAGAGCAUAUAGAAUGAAGAGA